GCCAAUCGAACAGAUCUGAUGUAGAUUAGAAUGAAACCAAUAUCAAAAUACAAAGAGGAAUCUCUGAAAUAAUUGUUCACCAAAAUCCCAUUGUAUCAAUCAUUUAAAAUUCAUGUAAAUAGUGCAAAAAAGACAACAGCCACACAAUUAGUACAAACUAAAAGCUUAAUCUUUUCACUAGAAGGUUUAGUAAAAUUAAAGAAAAAUAUAAGAACAAAUUCAAGAUUCAAAUAACAGGCAUCAGAAAUGAUUUGGGGUAAGGGUAGAGAAUCACGGCGGCGGCGAUGGCUGAUGGACUGCUGCGAAGAAGGAGGCAGCGAUUCUCGCCGUUCGCCGAGAGAAGAGGUUGUUCAUGGCGAGGGUAGAAGCAGGAGCAAUUUAGGGAGAGGGGUUUUCUGAAAUUGGAGGAAUUUUGAGGUUUUUGGUGUUUUGACUUCUGAGUCGGGAUAGAAGGAGAAGGAGCCGACGCCGGGACUGAGAAGUGGCGGAGGCGGCGACGGUCGUCGUUUCAUGUGCUAGGCGAGGAGACAAAGAGGGAGAGAGGCAGUUGGCGUGAGAGAUAAAGCAAAGAAAGAGAAAGAAAUAGAGAGGGGAUGAGAGGCGAGAAGUCGGCGGCAAAUUCGUCGGAGAUGGGGGUUGCAGGCGAUUGAGAGAGAAGAAAGGGAGAGAGAUUUGAUUUGGGGGAACUGCCGAAGGGGAGAGAGAUUUGGCUAGGGAGAAGAAGGGAAGAGAGAUUCCCAAAUUAUGGAAUUGGGGAAAAUCGAUGGGUGGGCCAAUUCUUUUAAGUUUUUAAC
rnacentral:lncRNA from 1 species